rnacentral:rRNA from 1 species
CGUAACGACUCUCGGCAACGGAUAUCUCGGCUCUCGCAUCGAUGAAGAACGUAGCGAAAUGCGAUACUUGGUGUGAAUUGCAGAAUCCCGUGAACCAUCGAGUCUUUGAACGCAAGUUGCGCCCGAAGCCUUCAGGCCGAGGGCACGUCUGCCUGGGCGUCACGC